GUAUAUACUCCCAUACCUUUUCCUACAUUUUGUUCCUAAGAAUAGGCACAAGAAAUUAAGAUGCAUUGUCCAUAUCUAAACACGGGGUUGUACUCAGAACUCACACCCUGUAUAAGCACUUAAAAUAGUUUCAGACAAUUCUACUGCUGAAACUAGCUUAGCAUUCCCUUAGGAAUAUUAAAUUGAUCAUCUUAGAAUUUUAGCAGUACUUUUACAUACCUGAACAUAUUUCUAGCAAAGAAAAGAAGGGCUGAAUUAACUUUGCUAUUAAUCUAUGGGUGAAGGUGCUCACAGUGUGGGCAGAACCCACUGUGUGAAGCUGGUUCACCGGCUAUACCCAGAGGUUGAUCCAGCACUCCCAGCUUCCCAUGUAGAGCACAUGCUCAAGAAGUGCCCUGACACGAUCCCUGAUCCAAAGGCAGUCCAGUAUGUGAGAAAUGACCGUGGGACACCCAUGAUACUGGACAACAAUUACUACAGAAACAUAUUGGACAACAAAGGAUUAUUGCUCGUGGACCACCAAUUGGCUAAUGACAAAAGAACCAAACCCUACGUCAAGAAAAUGGCCAAGAGCCAAGACUACUUCUUCAAGGAGUUCUCUAGAGCCAUCACCAUUCUCUCUGAGAACAACCCUCUUACAGGAUCAAAGGGAGAGGUCAGAAAACAAUGCAAUCUUGCAAACAAGCUCCAUUAAAGGGUUUGCAUUGCUGUAAAAAUCCCACCUUUUUUCUUCUCUGAUGCAUGCGUUCAGGAAGGAGAAGAAAGGGAGGAUUGACCAAUAAAUUUGAGGUUCACACGCCAGUGGCUGUGACCCAUGUUGAU
rnacentral:lncRNA from 1 species